rnacentral:rRNA from 1 species
GACGAACGCUGGCGGCGUGCUUAACACAUGCAAGUCGAACGGAAAGGCCAUGCUUUUGUGGGGUGCUCGAGUGGCGAACGGGUGAGUAACACGUGUGUAACCUGCCCUUGACUUUGGGAUAACUUCAGGAAACUGGGGCUAAUACCGGAUAGGAGCUCCUGCUGCAUGGUGGGGGUUGGAAAGUUUCGGCGGUUGGGGAUGGACUCGCGGCUUAUCAGCUUGUUGGUGGGGUAGUGGCUUACCAAGGCUUUGACGGGUAGCCGGCCUGAGAGGGUGAACGGCCACAAUGGGACUGCGAUAGGGCCCAGACGCCUACGGGAGGCAGUAGUGGGGAAUAUGGCGCAAUGAGCGGAAGUCUGAGGCAGCAACGCCGCGUGCGGGAUGACGGCCUUCGGGUUGUAAACCGCUGUCGCCUGUGACGAAGCGUGAGUGACGGUAAUGGGUAAAGAAGCACCGGCUAACUACGUG